ensembl:lncRNA
CCAAAAAGCUGAUUUCAAAGUAGCUUUGGCAAACACAAGACAUUCUGUAGUGUCUAUAUAUAAUUUUUUAUUAAGAAAAUGAACAAAAUACAUUCUUUCUCCAUAUGUACAUUACAUACAACAUAAUUCUACAACUGCAAUUGUCCAGCAGAUCACUCAUUAUUUAUUCACAAGAUAACAUAUGUACCAAACCUGGGAUCAGAAAAUUACUUGUACUAAAGAAGAAAAAUCCUAAAAAAUCCAUAUGGAUUGGACAAAAGGCAAAUCAGAGGAUCUGAGAGGGAUGACUCCAGAUAAAACUCAGCCUAACAGUAACCUAAAACAAUGAUGUUGAAAGAGAUCCAAGACCUGCUACCCAAAGAGCACUCUGUUUAAAUGCUCCACCUAGUUUUCCAGUGGGCCAUUUCUGACUCAAGUACUUCAGGACACAGUUUAGGCCCACAACACCACACAAGAGCGGGUAAAGGAAAGAAGAGAACUAAUAAGGUGUUUUUUCUUUUCCACAUCCUAAGAGAAGGAGUCUCAUGUGAGAUAUUACUGGGGUGCAAACUUCUGAAUCUUAGCUGGUAUUUAUGGAAAAACAAGGUUUUUUUUGAGACAUUUACUUAAGUAUGAUAAGGAAUUCUUAUUUCACAGACUAAGCCUUACAUUUAUGUUCAUUUGACAAUUUCUUUUGCUGUGCUUUGAGCCUUAGAAAAGUUAGCUCAUUCUCUUAGUGUGGGUUUAAUUAUGGCCUUAUAAAAAAGUGCAUCACAAAAAGUGGCUCCUCAUCAAUAUGCUUCAUACAUAGUGGUGCCUAAUGAGCUUUAAAAUUCCAGUGAGUUUUAGGGGUGAAAUUUUCAAUGACUUGAACAAGUCAGCUCUCCACAGCUGCUGGUUACCAUCUUAUAUCUGUUGUUCAGGCUUAAAGACACUUAUCAACAGAAUUAUUUUUAGACUGUCUAGAAAAGGGUAAUGCUUAAGGAAUAUAAGGUUGGGGACGUACAAUUGCAACCUGGUCUUUCCUACAUAUAAAGUGGUAGGAGAAAAUGAGAAAAGGUCUAAUAACUUUUUUUGUUUUUUUAACCUUUUCUGAUCUUUACCAUUUUUGCUGAGAGGUUAGGAAAAAGAAAAUGAAGAGGUAUCAUCAACAAGAGCUUUCCUUCUUUACAUUUAGUAAGUUCCUAUUUUUCUGGGAAAGGCAAAGACCCAUAAAGGAUAAUAACACUUUCCAACCUUAAAGUGAGCCGAUGCUAUUAGCACAUUUCCAGCCCAGGAGCUGCCCUCAGAAGGCAGCAGCUCUCCGCAGUGCUGAGGAGCAGGCCUGGAAAGACAAGGUUCUGCUGGCUAUGGGUAAAGCUGUAUUGUUCUUCUCAAUCUAAUUUCCAGUCCAACUUUGGUUUUAAAGAUCUUUCUCUAACAAAGGGAUCUUAAUUUCUGGCCACCAAGUACUUCUAAUUUAUGAGUUAACUUUUUAAAAAUUCUAACAUCUUUCCCACGCUGCUUAUAAAUAUGUCACUUUGGAAAUAUGGAACAUUCAGUCUACCGGCAAGAAUAAGAUAAGAAAAAGAGGUUCUCAACUUAGGUUUCCUGUACUAUUCGUCUGAGGCUGAAGACUGUACGUUUGGAGUGGUGGUAAGGGAAGCAAUUUAUUAGAAGGAAAAUUAAAAAAAAAAAAAAUAUAUAUAUAUAUAUAUUUUUUUUUUUUCCACAAAGAAGUCUGCUCACAGAAUUAUGCAAUCUCAAUUGAGCUGAAGGCUUCAUUUAUAUAAAGGACAAUUAAUACUAUACAAUCUAAUUUAUUUCAAAAGACAUUUAACAGAAGUUAAAAAGGUAGGCUGGCUUAAUGAGUAACAGAAUGAGCAUCUCUUGCCCAGGCUUAAUAGAAAUAGAAAUCCAUUUUUAUGUUUCUAAAUAAAUGGCUUACAAUUGAGGAAGAAAAUAGUUUAUAACUGGUCAGUCAAGAUCAUUUUUUUGAGAAAAAAAUCUGAAGGAGAUUACAUAAUUUUUUAAAAAGUAUGUCUUCCCUUAUAGAAGACUACUUAUAUUUAACCUAAUAUUUUUGACUCUGACAUACUAUUAAUCAAAUCUGGAGCUGGGCUGACAUUACUCUGUUGUGUCUUACAUCUUUGUAUUCAGUGCUUUUACAAGCAAAGCUAACAUGUACAGUAUAUGUAAAAUUAAGCUAAGCUUUACAAAGAUAGAAAUACCUUAGGACUCCCAAAACAGGUAAUUAACAAUGCAAAGCCACACAUUUCUGUCCUCAGUGUUCCCCUUUGCAUUUCAAGAAGGUAAAUACAAGGGUGGGUGUGUAGCUCAGCAGUACAGUGCUUGUCUAGCCAUGUGCAAGGAUCCCCAAUACCACAAAUAAGGAAACAGAAGUAAAUCCAGCACUAAAAAGCAACAUGCUACAUGGUCAUUUGGAAAUAAGGGCUAGCAUAGCUCUCUGUUAUGGCAAUUCAAUUUGUAAAGCUUUGCCAGUUGUAAUGAAAUUGGGGCUUAUUCUACAUACCAUCUCUAAUUUAAUCCAUCACUUUACAAAUGAGGAGAAAACCUAAAGAAUAAGCCAAAAUUAUUACAUAUCUCUAACAUCUAGGACUCAUGGACUUCUUGGCAAAGCAGAAUACAGAAAUCUCUGGUAUUGUAUAUAUGAUUAACUUAUUUUAAGGCAUGAAAACUAAUGUAAGUUCAAUUCUGUAUGGAUUAUAAGUUUUAUAUGAAAUGGAAAUUUUCUUCCUAUUUAACUUUUUGAGACAGGGUCUCACUAAGUAUUUUAGGCUGGCCUUGAACUUAUUAUGUAGUCCAGGCUAGCCUCAAACUCGCAGCAAUCCUCUUGCCUCAGUCUCCCACAUGCUGGGACUACAGGAGUUUGCCACCACACUUAGCCUUUCUUCCUAUUUUAAAGGGCUAGUAAAUGAAAACCAAUCCAACGGCACUAGUAAAACUUUAAGAAAGACUUUUUUGAGAUUUGCUAGUAAGAGAGAGAGAGAGAAAGCUCAAAACUGACCACAUUGCAAUUCCUUAAUUAUGUACAUGGGCCUGUUCCAUAUAUCACACACACAACGUUUCUCCUCCCUGGCCAUUAAUUUUGCAUUCAUUAAGUAGUGAAUGAAACUGAACAAGGGUGAUCUCCUGAGACUGGCAACCUAGAAUAUCCAGAGCUAUCUAAGUGAGUCCUCUGGGAGCCAAAUAACUGCAUGUGAAAAUGUUUUAUUGUUGAUUUUCACUUUGCACUUAUCAAGGAACUAGAUCUACAAAAAAAGCUGCUUACCUAUUUGAGAUCUAGAGUUGAUUAUAUAAGGUUUUCUGUUUUAAAGUCUCUUACAACUACUAGAAGAGAAAUGCAUUCCAAAGACUAACCCGAAUAUUCUAGAAAAUUAAACUUUGAUCCUUUUUUGGGAGUCUUUUUCCUGUGCUGCAUAAAUAAAAUUAUUCAGGGUUAAAAAAUGAAGAGCUUUCUGUUUCAUUUAGAUUUAUGAACUGUCAAAUCCAUAAGCCAAAAGUUUCCAUUAUUCUUUUCCCAACAUAUUCCCAAUCUCCCUUCUAGAUUUGUUCCUGAGGUUCAAUACUUCCAAGUCAAAAUGCCUUAGAUAGGCAAAACAGGACACUGCACACAAGUGUGUAAUAGUUCACCAAGGCUGUAUGAAGAGCAGAUAAACAAAAGACAUAAGAUUCAUAAUUUUAAGUGAUUUCGUAGAACUAGUCUCCUUCCCUAUCAAACACCCCGCUUAGCUCCCUGCCAUCUUUUUUCUUGUUGACGUCGUAGUGCUCAGGUGAUAUCCACAAAAAAUUCAAGGAAGAUUGGCAGCGUUUGGGGACAUGAGUGUAUAUAAGCAAACUUAAUUUCCAAAUAACAAUUGUAAAAUAGAAGAUAAACUACUUUGCUUUUUGUGCUAAGUUGUGAAUUGGGAACCAGUUCAAGAUUUGACAGAAAAAGACAAGUGAUAGUUUCCCAAAAGGGCAUUUCUCUCUGUGACACUAGAAAAUCUAAUUUACUGUAACCUCUAAUGACUCCUUAGGUUAAGGGCUAUGAAAGCUACUGUUGGGUGAUUUUAUCACUGGUUGUAUAACUGAGAAUGAGAUUUAGUUAUUCAGAAUUAGGUCUAGUCAUAUUCUUGAGGGGAAGAGACACUCAUAUACUUGUUUUUAUUUAAGGAAAAAAACCAAUCAUUUCAUAGUCACUAAUGAAAGCUAUUCUUAAUAUUCAACUAUAUCAGAAAUUGAAAGCCAAUUCUUAAUAUAAAUC